GCUCGAGUAGCAUACAUUAAAUACCCUUUCCUUUCCAGGGAUCUUUCCGAGGUCUCUCUCCAGCCCCUCAGAAAGCAUCUGCCACUUCCCCACGUAAGCGUGGAGCAGAGAACGCUGUGGUCCACUUCUUCCGCACGAUCGUGUCCCCAGCCCCUCCUAAGUCCAGGUGGAGAGGAGUAGCAGCCAAGAUGGGCCUGGGCGACCAGAAGUCACAGUCUAAAGCCAAGAAGGCCAGUGCAGGGGACGGCAAAGGCUCCCUGACUAGGAUCUUCAAAAUGUGAUGAUAUCAACAGCAGAGGAAGUAGGAGCGCUUCUCCAGGCAAACGCUGAAGUCCCUCUCUACAUCCCAGUCCAACUGCUUAAGGGGAGAAGUUCAAGAACAUGAGACUAAAGUGGGGAGAAAAAAAACAAACAAAAACAAACAAGGAGGAGGAGACCUCUCACACUCGAUUCCCAGUGCAUCUCUGAUAACACUUUAAUUGCUAAAUCCCUCCCCUCUCCUGUCACCCCCUUUGGCUGGUAGAUAGUGACACAAUCUGUUACCCCUGCCCCAACCCCCCCUGCCCCAACCCCCCCACCUCUUUCCAUUGCAUGCCUUGCGCUGAGUAGUCUGCACUGGCAUCACCACGAGUCUGUACUGUUUGCUGAAGUUGACCCUGAAGCCGCUCACAUGUGUAGCCUGAAUGAUACUGUGUGCUUGAGUUUCUGUGGAUGUCUUAAACAUUGGUUUUCCUAACAUACGAUGGCUGAACUGGAGCAAGCCCGGGCGCAGCUGAAGGUUCAGGCCGGUGCAAGUCCGACUGACUUGUCCGUUGUUGCCAUUUGCCGACUGGUUGAAAAGACCGGGGUUGUUUCUGUUUGAUUAAGAGCGAUUUUCUGUCUCGUCACACUGUCGAUCGUUGUUCCCUCAAAUGUUCUCCCACAUAAACCUGUGAUUGACUUUUUGUUUUUUUAUAAUCUAUUUAACAGACUUUACAUUUUAUGUGUUUUCAUUCAACCCUCUGUGUCUCAGCUGUACUUAAGUGUCCUGUCAUGAAUGUCACGUUGCUCUAUGUCAUUAAGGCUGGCUGUGGGUUUUGUGGUUAAUUUCUAAACUUUCUAAAUGACUAUUGUGCAAUAGCCAUUGAGUCAAUUUGUCAUCUCUAAAGAACUAGUUCUUUUUCCGUCAUGAGAUAAUGGCAUACACUAAUUUUCUUUUCUAUAUAGAGAACUAAAUUACUUUGUAGUGUCCUACUCUCCACUAUUUCUGAAGCACGGUGCCAGAUUCAGACCUUUUCGUGCAGUUUUCUUUGUCUUCACUGCUUCUCUUAUGCACAGCACACUCAGUGUCAACGGAAUUCACAAAAAAAACUCAGUGACAAGUGCCUUUGCCUCCUGAAUGACCAAAAACAAUGCGCUGUGUCUCCAUAUGUUGUGGAUAAUGGAACAAACAACACAAUUUCAAAAAGGUGCUCUGUGACUAACUCUGUACUAACACGUUAUAAGGUGUUAUUUGAGAAUGUGCAGGUUGAAAGUUUUUCCAAAUAAAAAAAAGUUCAGCACUAAACAAUCCAAACAUCCAUCUUCUAAAAGCCGGCGUGUGCAUGCGUGUGUGUGUGUGUGUGAGAUGUUGUGGUGUCCAUUUUCUCUUACUGUCUUGAGUGUGCUUGAGCCUCUUGAGUGCUGCGUUGUGUCGAUUUUCUUCUCCCCCUGAAUGGAUCCACAGAAUGAAUGUAAAGGCGCUCCCCAUUAUAGCAUGUGUAAUAAAAACAUGACCAACUACUUAACUGAGAAUAAAAAAAUAAAAA